UGAGAGAGGAGAUGAGGAACAGGCUGGAGAGAAACAGAAUGGAUGACCCUUGUAGUGUGGUGGUGGGCCACCUUGAGGGGCCAGGGAAUGAUCUCCUCCUGGCCAGUGUCAGAUUCGUCAGUGGGUAAGGGUGCCACUGACUGGGGUAUUGGCAGUAUACAGCCCAGUGCUAAGAGCAAUUCUGAGUGCCGGGAUGUGCUCGAUACUGGGGUAC